GAUGAAGAACGCAGCGAAAUGCGAUAAGUAGUGUGAAUUGCAGAAUUCAGUGAAUCAUCGAAUCUUUGAACGCACAUUGCGGCCCUUGGUAUUCCAUGGGGCAUGCCUGUUCGAGCGUCAUUUGUACCUUCAAGCUUUGCUUGGUGUUGGGUGUUUGUCUCGCCUUUGCGUGUAGACUCGCCUUAAAAUAAUUGGCAGCCGGCGUAUUGAUUUCGGAGCGCAGUACAUCUCGCGCUUUGCACUCAUAACGACAGCGUCCAAAAGUACAUUUUACACUCUUGACCUCGGAUCAGGUAGGGAUACCCGCUGAACUUAAGCAUAUCAAUAAGCGGAGGA
rnacentral:misc_RNA from 1 species